GAUGAACGCUGGCGGCGUGCCUAAUACAUGCAAGUCGAGCGAACGGACGAGAAGCUUGCUUCUCUGAUGUUAGCGGCGGACGGGUGAGUAACACGUGGAUAACCUACCUAUAAGACUGGGAUAACUUCGGGAAACCGGAGCUAAUACCGGAUAAUAUUUUGAACCGCAUGGUUCAAAAGUGAAAGACGGUCUUGCUGUCACUUAUAGAUGGAUCCGCGCUGCAUUAGCUAGUUGGUAAGGUAACGGCUUACCAAGGCAACGAUGCAUAGCCGACCUGAGAGGGUGAUCGGCCACACUGGAACGGAGACACGGUCAAGACUCCUACGGGAGGCAGCAGUAGGGAAUCUUCCGCAAUGGGCGAAAGCCUGACGGAGCAACGCCGCGUGAGUGAUGAAGGUCUUCGGAUCGUAAAACUCUGUUAUUAGGGAAGAACAUAUGUGUAAGUAACUGUGCACAUCUUGACGGUACCUAAUCAGAAAGCCACGGCUAACUACGUG
rnacentral:rRNA from 1 species